rnacentral:rRNA from 1 species
GGCGAACGCUGGUGGCGUGCCUAAUACAUGCAAGUUGAGCGCUGAAGGUUGGUACUUGUACCAACUGGAUGAGCAGCGAACGGGUGAGUAACGCGUGGGGAAUCUGCCUUUGAGCGGGGGACAACAUUUGGAAACGAAUGCUAAUACCGCAUAAAAACUUUAAACACAAGUUUUAAGUUUGAAAGGUGCAAUUGCAUCACUCAAAGAUGAUCCCGCGUUGUAUUAGCUAGUUGGUGAGGUAAAGGCUCACCAAGGCGAUGAUACAUAGCCGACCUGAGAGGGUGAUCGGCCACAUUGGGACUGAGACACGGCCCAAACUCCUACGGGAGGCAGCAGUAGGGAAUCUUCGGCAAUGGACGAAAGUCUGACCGAGCAACGCCGCGUGAGUGAAGAAGGUUUUCGGAUCGUAAAACUCGGUUGGUAGAGAAGAACGUUGGUGAGAGUGGAAAGCUCAUCAAGUGACGGUAACUACCCAGAAAGGGACGGCUAACUACGUG